GGGAUCAUAUCUAUUUCAAUCUUGUUUCCCCCCGUACAUUUAUGAUCGAGAUCAAAAAUUUCUUCCUUUCGUUUUGACUAUUUCGAUUAGAGUUUAGGGUCGAUCAGCAAUUUUUUUUUGGCGAAUUAUGGGUUAUGUGGGAUCGUUUAGUACAAUGGCAUCUUCUUCGGACUCAUGGAUAAAGGAAUAUAACGAAGCAACAAAACUUGCUGAUGAUAUCAGUGGUAUGAUAUCUGAACUGAGUACAUUGCCUGCAGGUCCUGACACCCAGCGUCAUGUCUCUGCUAUACGGCGGAAGAUUACAAUAUUGGGGACUAGACUUGAUAGCUUACAGUCCCUUCUGUCAAAACUCCCUGGAAAACAGCACAUAUCAGAGAAAGAGAUGAAUCGUCGAAAGGAUAUGAUAGGAAAUUUAAGAUCGAAGUGAAGCAGAUGGCUUCAACAUUGACGUCCAACUCUUCCAACCGAGAUAGCUUGCUGGGGCCAGAAAUAAAUAAAACUGAUGCCAUGGGAAGAACAGUUGGACUAGACAACUACGGCCUUGUUGGUUUGCAACGACAAAUUAUGAAAGAGCAAGAUGAGGGGCUUGAGAAAUUGGAGGAGACUGUAAUAAGCACAAAACAUAUUGCAUUGGCAGUCAAUGAAGAACUUGACCUACACACUAGACUUAUUGAUGACUUGGAUGAUCAUGUGGAAGUUACGGACUCUCGGCUACGGCGGGUGCAGAAGAACUUGGCAGUUUUGAACAAGCGGACAAAGGGUGGUUGCUCUUGCAUGUGCAUGCUUUUAUCUGUCGUCGGGAUCGUAGUUCUGAUUGCUGUGAUAUUUUUGCUGAUCAAAUACUUGUAAUAAUGCCAACUUUAAGUGUAUACCGAGUCUCAUGAUUUCCAGUUUGUGUGUGUUUGAUGUGGAUUGCUGUCUUCGUUGUGAUGAUGUAUUCGGCUUUCAUGGUUUUUUCGGUUUGUGAAUUUGUGUGUUGUUAAAAUAAUUGUAAAUUUUAUUUAUUGGCACGUAUUAGUACCAUCUUUGAAUAUUUUCUGUUUUUCAUUGUUUAA